rnacentral:lncRNA from 1 species
UGGUGUGUUGGGGUGCCUCUUUGUCCCUGCCGAGAGGGUGCUCCGUUGCCAUGUUCCUUUGUCCCGUGGCCUUAGGCCUAUGGCACCGCGGCCACCCCUUCGCCGGUGGUGCGUUUCCCUUAGCGGAAGCGCACCGCCGUCGAACGGCGUGCUUGCGGUGCCCUUUUCUUUUUUCCUUUGGCCUAUGCCGUGUCUUUGCAUG